AGCAGCCGCGGUAAUUCCAGCUCCAAUAGCGUAUAUUAAAGUUGUUGCAGUUAAAAAGCUCGUAGUUGAAUUUCGGGGUCAGUAGGUUGGUCAUGCCUUCGGUAUGUACUGGUCUCACUGAUUCCUCCCUCUUGAAGAACUGUAAUGUCAUUAAUUUGGUGUUGCGGGGAAACAGGACUGUUACUUUGAAAAAUUAGAGUGUUUAAAGCAGGCUCACGCUUGAAUACAUUAGCAUGGAAUAAUGAAAUAGGACGUUCGAUCCUAUUUUGUUGGUUUCUAGGAUUGACGUAAUGAUUAAUAGGGAUAGUUGGGGGCAUUAGUGUUCAAUUGUCAGAGGUGAAAUUCUUGGAUUUAUUGAAGACUAACUACUGCGAAAGCAUUUGCCAAGGAUGUUUUCAUUAAUCAAGAACGAAAGUUAGGGGAUCGAAGACGAUCAGAUACCGUCGUAGU
rnacentral:rRNA from 1 species